UACGAAGGGUGCCAGCGUUAAUCGGAAUUACUGGGCGUAAAGCGCGCGUAGGUGGUUCAGUAAGUUGGAAGUGAAAUCCCCGGGCUCAACCUGGGAACUGCUUUCAAAACUGCUGAGCUAGAGUAUGGCAGAGGGUGGUGGAAUUUCCUGUGUAGCGGUGAAAUGCGUAGAUAUAGGAAGGAACACCAGUGGCGAAGGCGACCACCUGGGCUAAUACUGACACUGAGGUGCGAAAGCGUGGGGAGCAAACAGGA
rnacentral:rRNA from 1 species